ACGUCAUGGUUUGGACAUUACUUUAGUUUUCCGUUGAAUAUUUCCCAUACCUCAUACAAAGGCUCUCCAUUCAAUUACCUAAAAUUAAUGAUUUCAUCCCUCAACUA
rfam:Capsicum annuum cultivar Zunla-1 unplaced genomic scaffold scaffold454, whole genome shotgun sequence